UACGGAGGGUGCAAGCGUUAUCCGGAUUUACUGGGUUUAAAGGGUGCGUAGGCGGACAGGUAAGUCAGUGGUGAAAUCCCCGAGCUCAACUUGGGAACUGCCGUUGAUACUAUCUGUCUUGAAUACCGUGGAGGUGAGCGGAAUAUGUCAUGUAGCGGUGAAAUGCUUAGAUAUGACAUAGAACACCGAUUGCGAAGGCAGCUCACUACGCGGUCACUGACGCUGAGGCCCGAAAGCGUGGGGAGCAAACAGG
rnacentral:rRNA from 1 species